rnacentral:rRNA from 1 species
UACGUAGGGGGCAAGCGUUGUCCGGAAUCAUUGGGCGUAAAGCGCGUGUAGGCGGUCCGGUAAGUCCGCUGUGAAAGUCGGGGGCUCAACCCUCGGAUGCCGGUGGAUACUGUCGGGCUUGAGUUCGGAAGAGGUGAGUGGAAUUCCUGGUGUAGCGGUGAAAUGCGCAGAUAUCAGGAGGAACACCAAUGGCGAAGGCAGCUCACUGGGACGAUACUGACGCUGAGACGCGAAAGCGUGGGGAGCAAACAGG